GUUGGGCAUGGUGGCCCAUGCCUGUAAUCCCAGCAGCUUGGGAGGUUGAGACAGGAGGAUCAUGAGUUCAAAGCCAGCCUCAGCAGAAAUGAUGGUGUCUCCU
rnacentral:sRNA from 1 species